rnacentral:rRNA from 1 species
UUCUGUGACCAUCCUACCCUGAAUGUUCUUGAUCUUGUCUGAUCUUGGAAGCUAAGCGGGGUUAGGCCUGAGUAGUACUUGGAUGAGUGACCACUUGGGAAUAUUGGGUUCUCUUUGCUU